rnacentral:rRNA from 1 species
UGCUACCUGCAAAGUCGACGAAGCCUUCGGGCUUAGUGGCGGACGGGUGAGUAACGCGUGAGAAUCUCCCUUCAGGAUGGGGACAACCGUUGGAAACGACGGCUAAUCCCCAAUGUGCCGAGAGGUGAAAGGGUUUCCGCCUGAAGAAGAGCUCGCGUCCGAUUAGUUAGUUGGGGAGGUAAGAGCUCACCAAGGCAGCGAUCGGUAGCUGGUCUGAGAGGAUGAGCAGCCACACUGGGACUGAGACACGGCCCAGACUCCUACGGGAGGCAGCAGUGGGGAAUUUUCCGCAAUGGGCGAAAGCCUGACGGAGCAACGCCGCGUGUGGGAAGAAGGCUCUUGGGCUGUCAACCACUUUUCUCAGGGAAGAAGUUCUGACGGUACCUGAGGAAUCAGCCUCGGCUAACUCCGUGCCAGCAGCCGCGGUAAUACGGAGGAGGCAAGCGUUAUCCGGAAUUAUUGGGCGUAAAGCGUCCGCAGGGGGCGCAUCAAGUCUGCUGUUAAAGGCUGGAGCUUAACUCCGGUAGAGCAGUGGAAACUGGUGCGCUAGAGGGCGACAGGGGUAGAGGGAAUUCCCAGUGUAGCGGUGAAAUGCGUAGAGAUUGGGAAGAACACCGGUGGCGAAAGCGCUCUACUGGGUCGCACCUGACCCUCAGGGACGAAAGCUAAGGUAGCGAAAGGGAUUAGAUACCCCUGUAGUCUUAGCCGUAAACGAUGGAUACU